rnacentral:rRNA from 1 species
UACAGAGGGUGCGAGCGUUAAUCGGAAUUACUGGGCGUAAAGCGUGCGUAGACGGUUGCGUAAGUCGGAUGUGAAAUCCCCGGGCUCAACCUGGGAAUUGCAUUCGAGACUGCGUAGCUGGGGUGCGGAAGAGGGAAGCGGAAUUUCCGGUGUAGCGGUGAAAUGCGUAGAUAUCGGAAGGAACAUCAGUGGCGAAAGCGGCUUCCUGGUCCAGCACCGACGUUCAGGCACGAAAGCUAGGGGAGCAAACAGG